UUAAUGUUUUGUUGAGUGAUUUGAGGGGACAAAAAAGAAAGCAAAACAAAUUUAAAAUUGAAAAAAAGGAAAAUAAACUAAUUAAGAUGAAGGCGAAUAAAUUGUUUUCAGAUGAGUCAACCAUAAAGAAGGUACCUAAACGGCGCUUAACACACCAUUCAUCCAAAUUAUUGGGUUGCCAAUGUGUACACCAAAACUCAUCAACAAUGCCAGCAAUUUUUUGCCUCUUAACCUUCGCAUGUUAAUCAACAAAAUCAAGAAGCAAGAUACAAAAAAUUGUCAAAACUCUUUUCAUUUUUUAUGAACCAAAAACAGGGUUUUGUUCAUAUUUUAAGAAUGAACAUUUCAAGAUUUUCCGUUACUUAUCAUUAAUAUUUCAAAUAACUUAUUGACUGCAAAGGCUCCAUCUUCUGUAUGAUUUGUCAACAGUAAAAGUAAAUAAAUCUAACUUUGAUAGCUUCUUUUUAAUAAAUUGAUCUAAUCUUUGUUAUUGUUAUUGAUAUUGUUUUAUUAUUUUAUUACAAUUGUGAGCUGGAUUAAGUGAAAUUUGCCUGUCUUAAUCUCUCUAAUUCUCUAUCUUCUCAACAAUAAAGCUUUUUUAGCAAGUAAAUCGUAAGCUUUUCAUUUUUUGAUACACAAGUCGUUUCCUCUUUUUGCAUAUCAAUUUCUUCUUUCAUUCAUAUUAACUUGUAAGUGUCAAUUUAAUUCUUCAACUACAAUUCUUCAAGUGUAAUAAAUCCUGUGUAAGGAACAUUUGGUUGAUCAUAAUGAUAAUCAAAGUUGAUCUUGAAACGAUGCCAAAAAAUCAAUUGGAUUACAGACGAUUAUAAAAAUAUUCAUUGCAUGAUGUUCACUUUGACAAAUUAUACCAUUUCUUCAGGAUAAAUAUAGUGAUUUUGCCGUAUAAAAUAAAAAUCCACUUUGUCCAUAAUAUCAGUUCAAAUGUUCAAUUGGCAUCAGCCAAAGAUGUAAUUCGUUUGUGAUACUCUUUACAGAUUUUCAUCAACUCAGCUGAUUGGGAAA